rnacentral:rRNA from 1 species
AUUGAACGCUGGCGGCAGGCCUAACACAUGCAAGUCGAGCGGAUGAAGGGAGCUUGCUCCUGGAUUCAGCGGCGGACGGGUGAGUAAUGCCUAGGAAUCUGCCUGGUAGUGGGGGAUAACGUCCGGAAACGGGCGCUAAUACCGCAUACGUCCUGAGGGAGAAAGUGGGGGAUCUUCGGACCUCACGCUAUCAGAUGAGCCUAGGUCGGAUUAGCUAGUUGGUGGGGUAAAGGCCUACGAAGGCGACGAUCCGUAACUGGUCUGAGAGGACGAUCAGUCACACUGGAACUGAGACACGGUCCAGACUCCUACGGGAGGCAGCAGUGGGGAAUAUUGGACAAUGGGCGAAAGCCUGAUCCAGCCAUGCCGCGUGUGUGAAGAAGGUCUUCGGAUUGUAAAGCACUUUAAGUUGGGAGGAAGGGCAGUAAGUUAAUACCUUGCUGUUUUGACGUUACCAACAGAAUAAGCACCGGCUAACUUCGUG